AAAGUCGUAACAAGGUCUCCGUUGGUGAACCAGCGGAGGGAUCAUUACCGAGUUGCAAGACUCCCCACCAUUGUGAACCUACCUCACCGUUGCUUCGGCGGGUGGCCCCCACCGGGGCCGCGCCAGCCCCCCCGGGGCCGGCAACCCGUCAGAGGACCCAAACGCUCAGUUAUCAUAGGCCUCUCUGAGUAGCUUAUACAAUAAGUCAAAACUUUCAACAACGGAUCUCUUGGUUCUG
rnacentral:misc_RNA from 1 species